AGAGACUUAGGAUAACACUCAGUCCAAGGGCCUUCAAAGCCCUAAGCAGGAGUGAAAACCUCCCAGUCUCUG
rnacentral:tRNA from 1 species